CGCCGUUGGGAGGAGCUGCCGCCGUCGGCCCCGCCCGCAGAGCGUGGGGUGGGGCUGCUCCCUCCACGCCCAUCACGUGGCCCUGUCCCCAAACAGCUCCCCGAGGCGCGCGGCUACUGCCGCCUCACGGGUGCGGGGGCUCGCGCCGGAGUUAUGUUCGCUGGCUUAGUGCAGCCGUAGUCACCGCCUUCCUGCUCCGCGGCCGGCUCCCUGCGAGGCGCUGUUCUCCUGGGCUCAGCAGCAGGGGGCUGACCCUCUCCUCCUCCCCCCUCCAAACCCCCUCAGCCUGGCGCCAGCUUGCCAGGGAAUGGACUGUAAACCUGGGUCUGUAACCUGUACUGACUGAGCAGCCGCUGGGACAACGGCCACCACCAAGUACUGGACGCUGCUGUGCGGGUUUGCAGGCGGCUCUGCCAAUGGAAACCACUUAACGCCUUUAAAUGUAGCCGCUGCAGAGGUUUUCUUCUGUAACUGGCAGCUCUAGGGCUCCUCCUGCUGCUGUAAUUAGCUUUGGGUACGGGGCUGGGAUGGGUUUCAGCCCCUUCAGCUGUUGCCUUGUAUUCUCCUCUCUUCCUUCACCUCAGCUCCUGCUCUACACGCUUUCUUCGGAAUCAUUUAUAACACAGCAGCACUUCUAGUUUCUUCAUCUGUAUUCUGCAGGGAUCACCUCUAUAGAUAUUUAUAUAAAACCCCAGAUAUGCAGUGAUGGGCAGCGUGUAUAUGAGUGGAGAGCAUAACCUAGAAGGUUCAAUCCUGUUAAAAUCAGUGGCAGUGCUUCCAGUGACUACAGCAGGAACAUGUACAACUGUUUCCAGUCCUGCAAGGAUAUCUGUCUGUGCAAACCCCAACGGCUGUGUGGAAUCUCACUGAUUCAAUGAAAGCAUGUCGGUCAUGUGGCUGGAUCAGGGACAUAGUGACAGCUACGUUACUGAGAGAAUGUCACAGGAGGAGCUCAUGAAUAGCAGGCAAGCUCUCUGCACAUUUCUCAUUGAUCUGACACUUCCACGCAGUAUGCCUUAGACAAAAUCUCUAUCGGAUAUCCAGAAAAAAAAAUCACAAAUGAAGAAUGCUGGAGGACGACGACAAAAUAGAAGCCAACAGGACAGGAGAUUACAGAAUGAAGAUUGAGAUGGCAAUGAAAUACGUGGAAGAAAAAUACAGAAAACGUAACAAGACAGGCAUUGGACUGGAACACUCAGGGGAAAAGAUGACAAGCCACUUCAAGGAUAACAUGGAAAUGAACAAUAGAGGCAGAAUUGAAAGCUAUCAAAAUGACAUGGGAAGAAGCUUAGACUGAAGCAGGAGAUCAGUAAAGAUGGAAGGCUGUGGUGAAGGUCCUAUGUUCUGCAUGGAAUAGAGAGGCGUAACAUUACAUAUGUAGUUUUAUUCAAUUAUAAAUAUAUUGCUGUUACAUAUACAACAGAAAUAAUUUAAUUAAAUAUCUAAUUGCUUGGAGAAUAUAUAAACUUAUUACUUUGGCUUUAUCUGAUAUCACUAUAUAUUUGAGAUAUUAUUCCCCUUGGAAAAUGUAAAGUAAGUCAGGCUCCAGAAAUCUGUAGUUUCUCCAAUUCUUGUAAACUGUUGAAAUUUAGAAAGAAAUAAAAGCUCCAAUCCUGCAAACACUAACAUAUGAAACUUUACUCACAUGAGUAGCCCCAUUGAAUUGUAUCCCAUUAUCAACUCCCUGAGUUAUCUAGUUCCUCAUACGUUAUUUUUCAAUUACAUGAAUAUUUAUUACAUUACAUGUACUAUUUACAGGACAGCAUGAUUAAAUAGUAAUUCUCAUA